rnacentral:lncRNA from 1 species
GACGAGCACCACAGGGCUUGGCGGCGUUUUUUAUUCCAGGCAAUAUCAUUAAACGAUUCAAAUGUGUCUGUUUCUAAGUGCACGUCGGCAAGGGAAGGGUGACUGAACAAUCUGUUUUGACCCGAGCGCCAGAGAGGAGAAAAUCCACAGGCUGUUUGAUCUGAGACUUCGGCUCUGCUGUGCGCACCGGCACAGCAUAGCAGUCCUUACUCUGUUCGGAGACCUCCUCUCCCCUUACGCGAUCUUGUCGCCCGCUGGGCGGUGCAGUCCCUUCGCCCAGGCCGCGCAGCCCUCGGAGGCGUUUGCGAAGCUACCCGUACGAGCUAGCGUCGGCGGUGCUUGGUCCCACGGCCCUCAGCCCUCGCCCGCUCCGUACCUCGUCCUGGCCGCGGCCACCGCCGCACUGGUGGCAGCCCAGCAGCUCCGAGACAGCCAGCGAGGCUGCGUACGCCUCGUUCGCCGCGGCGGCCAGGCGCAUGUCGGAGGGACGGCUGCGGCCGC